rnacentral:rRNA from 1 species
GACGAACGCUGGCGGCGUGCUUAACACAUGCAAGUCGAGCGGUAAGGCCCUUCGGGGUACACGAGCGGCGAACGGGUGAGUAACACGUGGGUGACCUGCCUCUAGCUCUGGGAUAAGCCUGGGAAACUGGGUCUAAUACCGGAUAUGACUCCACGGCGCAUGUUGGUGGGGUGGAAAGCCUUGUGUGGCUAGAGAUGGGCCCGCGGCCUAUCAGCUUGUUGGUGGGGUGAUGGCCACCAAGGCGACGACGGGUAGCCGGCCUGAGAGGGCGACCGGCCACACUGGGACUGAGACACGGCCCAGACUCCUACGGGAGGCAGCAGUGGGGAAUCUUGCGCAAU